CCAAGCGGAGAAGCGGUGCGGUUCAACGAAUUCCGUUGACGCGACGCUGAAUGAGAACUGAUUUGAAUUUUUCGGUGCGACGUUGGGGAUUGUGUCGAUUGUACCGCCGUCGAUCGCCAGCGGUAAAAUAGCAAACAGCAAACAGCUGACAGAGGCAGAAGCAGAAGCAGAAGCCGCAGCCACAGCGUUUGGAGAAUGCAAAAAGCAGGCAGCUUAUCGUCUAGCUGAUAAGGCCAGUGCAUUGGUACAGCGCAUUUUAUAUGUCUUUGUGUGCUGCUGAGACGAUGUCUGAUAAUGAAAGUACUGAGUCCCCCGACAACGCUCGCCAAAUAUUUGAAUUGCUUGGGAUUGCAGCAAUUGUCGCUGGCAGACAGCAGAAAUUGUAGCGAAUAAGAAAGCAAAAGUUGUGGCAAAUCGAAUGUUGAAUCUAAGCAGAAACAUCUUGAAAAGCAUGUAACUUAAAUGAACUGAAACCAACACACUCUAUGCCGACUCACUGGCGUGUAAAAUAAAUAAAUGCACAAAUGACCACAUGUCCCAUUUGUGCAGCUGCGAUAAUGUCCGAAAUGCAGAAUCACUGGAUUACCCACCCGAUGAGAUAAUGCGACAAUACUCUGGACCAGCACAGCUCACCACCUGUCAGAGUUCGCUGCUCACUUCGCAGUCGCUUUGCUGACACGUCACUCAGAGGAAUUCU